UACGAAGGGGGCUAGCGUUGCUCGGAAUUACUGGGCGUAAAGCGUGCGCAGGCGGUUUUGUAAGUCUGUCGUGAAAUCCCCGGGCUCAACCUGGGAAUUGCGAUGGAGACUGCAAGGCUAGAAUCUGGCAGAGGGGGGUAGAAUUCCACGUGUAGCAGUGAAAUGCGUAGAGAUGUGGAGGAACACCGAUGGCGAAGGCAGCCCCCUGGGUCAAGAUUGACGCUCAUGCACGAAAGCGUGGGGAGCGAACGGG
rnacentral:rRNA from 1 species